CCGCCCGCCCUCGCCCCCCGCCUCCCUCCUCCACCGUGCUUCCCCGCCCGCGUCGUGGCCAAUCGGAGGCCACCAAGCAGCGGCGGUAGCCGGCCGGAUCCACCGCAGCCGCCCGCCCCCGCCCUGCCGGAGCGCCCCGUUUUUGCUGCAGCCCAUGGGUGGGGGUUAUCGCCGGAGGGAAGCCUGGGGUUCGCAGAACACCGCCCUGGCAGGUGGAGGGGCUGUGGGAAAUAACUUGCGCAGGAACUUGAUUGGUGACAGGUUCCUCUUUGGACCGUAAGGAGGAAUCGGCAUGAACUUGAGCACAAAAAGUGAGAGACUUUACAAGUUGAGGUCAAAAACUUGUGGAAUGGAUGGAAGAGUGAGGGAGCAGUUAACUUAGCGAGGUAAUAAAACUUUCCAGGACCUGUUUUUCCAGGUUUUACAGGUAAAUAAGAACGUCGGUUUAAUCAAAGUGGUUUAAUCGAAGUGUUUGAACACUUUGGAGGUCGUUGAACUUCGUUGCAAUUUAUGACCAAGUCUUCCACUUUCCGUAACUAAAAUAUUAACGUUAUUUGAAUUUGAAUUUCAGGAUACAGAUCACUUAAGAACUUAAUAAUGAAUCUCUGAAAAUCAAGCACUAAUUUAUUUGACAUAAGUGAUGCAGCUUUUAACAAUAUGCAAUUUGCUGGUUAGGCUUUUAAAGUUUAAUAUUCCUGAGGAAGUUUAUUCAAUUUCCAUUAAAACAUAACAUUGUAGGCAGUUCUUAAGGAAACUCAAAAAUUUUUUCUAGCUUCUCAAAAGAAUAAGGAAUGUCAUGUUAAUUAAUUUAAAGACCAAAGGCUCCACUUGUUCUUUUUCUUUCUCUUCCUUCUUUUGCUAGACAUUAUUGUCACACUGUUGCUAAUUGGCAUUAAAGUUGUCCUUGCAAUAGGAUAUUUGUAAGUUCCAUUUUUAAGGAGCCAUGCCUAAUAAUAAAACAUUCAGUCGCAAUAUGGGGAUAAUGCUUGUUUUACUACAAAGUAGGAUUUAUAGAUCUUAUCUCCAUGACUCAGAUUCAGCCAUGAUCCUGGACCUGAGGCCUUACCAUCCUCACCACUCCCAGCAGUAACCAUUGAUAUUCAUUACCAUUCUGAUUAAUAUAAAGGUGGAACAGCUAGCUUCCAGCAUGAAUAACUAUAAUUUGUUGGUAUUAUGCUUGAAGCUUUAAACAUUUUGAACAUCAUGCCUCUAAUAAAUUAAACUCUUGUAACUUGAAAAUUCACUUUGGAAUGCCUGUAAGUGAACUAAUUCUCUGAUUCCAAUUGUUUUUGCUCAUACAGGUCAGUGUGGUAAGCAUUUCUUUUGGUGGAGUUGUCCAAGUUGUAUUCCUCUCACCCUUCAAUGGUUGUGAAUUGCUUUGGGACCUUGCAUGAGCUUUACCUUCUUAUCACAUGGUCAGCCAAAUUUUGCUAAUCAACCUUUAUCAGAGGAAGGAAUAGCCUAGUCUAAAAUCAUGUUACUGGAGACUUAGUGCUUUCAUUUGGUGUUAAUAAAAGUAGAUUUGGUGUUGACUUUGGCACCCUCCACAGCUUUACCUCCAUUGCACCGUACUUAGAAUAAUCUAAUAAAGCCAUUCAUUUCUCUGGGCAUACAGUGAGCAAACUCAGAAUUUCAGCCUCUGCUGAAAGCAUCCAUCACCAGUCUGAAGACUCCAGGACUACAAGGAGUUUGACAGUGACCCAGAGAAACAGCCACAAGGUGGAGGAAGCAGGAGAAGGCAAGAAAAAUAACAAAAACUAAGGCUGGACUUAUACACAGAAAGUCAGUCUAAUUCCUUGAUUUCUUACCUGUAAAUUGCUGCUGAUUUUAGUACAAGAGUUCUGCAAAUGAGUAUGUGCCCCAAGCAUUGUGCUGAGUAAAUGAUGUCUUUUGUGCACAGUCAGUUUUCAUAUGUACAUAAUGCCAUGACGAUUCAUUUACACACAUUCAUUGUAAAGUAAAAUCAUAAUUACUU